ensembl:lncRNA Ctxnd1 cortexin domain containing 1
GCUGCCCGGGGCUCACCGCGCCGCCGCCGGGCGCUGACUCAGCCGCAGUCCGGCUGCUUCGCCGAGCCGGACCUGGGGAGCGCGCGCACGGAGACCGUGCCCGGUGCCCGGUGCCCGGCGCCUGGAGCCAUCCGGGAAGCACCGCAGCGCUUGAACUAGCUUCCAGAGCUGGGGGCUGGACCGAUUAGGUCCCAGAGCGCAUCGGACUCGGCUGACCAGAUCAAACUGAUUAAUGCUCAUGGUCAGCCCUGAUUCGGGUUGCCCUGCAUGAAUUCACAAUGUCGCUGCAGCCUGCUGUUGAUCCCUUUGGUGGAAAGUGGCAAGAACUUUCAAUACCUUCAUUUUCUGCCCAUGGUGCCUGGAGGGAAGAGGCCAAACAUGAGCUGUCAUCUGGAGGCCAGAAGGAAUGGCCCAGCCCCGGUUUAAGGCGGCAGUGCCCUCCACCAACUCACUGCCCUGUAUUGAACUCUAACUCCCAGAUCUGCACGCUCACAGUGUUUUGAAGGCAGGUACUAGGCUGGCAUGCCAACACGCCUUACACCUGACUCUUCCUAAAACGGCAUUCUGGAGACCAAACUCAGGUA